UACGUAGGGUGCUAGCGUUGUUCGGAAUCAUUGGGCGUAAAGCGCGUGUAGGCGGUUAGUUAAGUCGGGUGUGAAAUCCCUGGGCUCAACCGAGGAAGUGCAUCCGAAACUAAUUAGCUAGAGAAUGGUAGAGGGAGGUGGAAUUCCGUGUGUAGAGGUGAAAUUCGUAGAUAUACGGAGGAAUACCGGUGGCGAAGGCGGCCUCCUGGACCAUUUCUGACGCUGAGACGCGAAAGCGUGGGGAGCAAACAGG
rnacentral:rRNA from 1 species